rnacentral:misc_RNA from 1 species
AACGCACCUUGCACCCUUUGGUAUUCCAAAGGGUAUGCUCGUUUGAGUGUCAUUGUACUCUCAUACUCUCCGAUCUUAGGAUUGGGAGUGGUGGACUUGGGUGUUGCUGCUUCACUGUGGCUCACCUGAAAUGCAUUAGUGCAACUCUUGACUAACCAUAGUAUGGCAUGAUAAGCAUCUUUGCCAGCACCUCUCCGGAGGGUGGCCAGUCAAGAGCUCUGUGCUUCUAACUGUCUUUGGACAAUCUUGACAACUUGACCUCAAAUCGAGUAGGACUACCCGCUGAACUUAA